GCGCCCAUAGCUCAGCGGAUAGAGCACUGGUCUUCGGAACCAGGUGCCGGGGGUUCAAAUCCCUCUGGGCGCG
rnacentral:tRNA from 1 species